UUGAGAAUUCAAGAAGUUAUUGUUCACGUGAAGUUGAUCCUCCUAUAUUAGUAGAGAUUGAUAUUUUUUCAGUAGAUUUUUAUGGUACUUAACUUUAUGCCAUGCAUAUUAAGGAGUUGAUAGUCAAAUAAAGUGAUAACACCAUUUAUUUUAGUAAAAAGAUUUAACACCAGACUAGUUGCUAUCUCUGUAUAUACAUUUAAUUGAUCAUAGUUUUGGUGCUCCACUACAACAAUUUAUAUUCUUUCUAGUUCUUUUCAAAACAAUAUUCAAUUCCAAGAUAAAUGUUUACUUGUUUAGUGUUUUGCAUGGAUAGUAUUUAACAAUCCAAAUGAUUACACCUUAAUGCCCGGAUAUCUCAUUGGUUUCAGUUUCUUGUAUUUGAUUAGAUAGUCAUAACCCCAAUAACUCUAAUUCAUUACUAUCAAUUUCUCAGCUCCUUGCGGCUAAACACUCUCAGCUCCUUGUGGCAAAACACUCUCCUUCAUAUUCCAGGAUUUGGAGACUACAGUUUACAAGACAAUAUGUGCUAGGUUUGAAGACUUCAAACAAGCCGACGAUUUGUUUAUCAUGUUACUAGGAUUAUUAGAUCAGAAAUUAUAUUCGGAUGUUUGUUUUCCCCCAAGGGGUGGGUAUACAGCUGUGUCACUUAUAUAUCAUGGUUAUACAGUGCCACUAGUCGGAUGUUAAUCCAUUAUUUGUAACUAAUUAAAGACUAACAGCGGGAUAUUAUUGCUUAUUUUUGUUUAUAUGCAUCCACAAAUAUGACAG